rnacentral:rRNA from 1 species
UACGUAGGGUGCAAGCGUUAAUCGGAAUUACUGGGCGUAAAGCGUGCGCAGGCGGUUGUGCAAGACAGAUGUGAAAUCCCCGGGCUCAACCUGGGAACUGGCAUUUGUGACUGCACGGCUGGAGUGCGGCAGAGGGGGAUGGAAUUCCGCGUGUAGCAGUGAAAUGCGUAGAUAUGCGGAGGAACACCGAUGGCGAAGGCGCCCACCUGGCCUGCUACUGACGCUGAAGCUCGAAAGCUAGGGGAGCAAACGGG